GUUGUCAUUGCCGGAGGAGAAUACACAGGCGAGGGCAAGGCCUUCAUAUAGAAGCGCGACGAUUAUCCUGAAAUUUGACAGGCUGAUAGGCUCACCGGCCUCGUCAGCGUCGCCGUCGAGCAGGAAGGCGCCGCAGAUGGGGUGGCCGCGAAGCUCCCCUGGCGGGGGGAUCACCCGGCAGCGCCGCGUAAUGGGCUCGCAGACGACGAGGUCCUUGAAGACAGCCACAUUGUUGCCGGGACACUGGUUGACGAGGAGGAGGCCGCCUCGACUAUCGGCGAUGUCCCAGGAGCCACCGUCGCGGGACGGGAGGAAGUCAAGCGAGAAGUGCUGGGGGCGUAGGUCGACGGUGUCUGACGACGGUGAGAGGAAGAAGACGGGGUUGCAGCC